UGGUGGGUAGUUUGACUGGGGCGGUCUCCUCCUAAAGAGUAACGGAGGAGCACGAAGGUUGGCUAAUCCUGGUCGGACAUCAGGAGGUUAGUGCAAUGGCAUAAGCCAGCUUGACUGCGAGCGUGACGGCGCGAGCAGGUGCGAAAGCAGGUCAUAGUGAUCCGGUGGUUCUGAAUGGAAGGGCCAUCGCUCAACGGAUAAAAGGUACUCCGGGGAUAACAGGCUGAUACCGCCCAAGAGUUCAUAUCGACGGCGGUGUUUGGCACCUCGAUGUCGGCUCAUCACAUCCUGGGGCUGAAGUAGGUCCCAAGGGUAUGGCUGUUCGCCAUUUAAAGUGGUACGCGAGCUGGGUUUAGAACGUCGUGAGACAGUUCGGUCCCUAUCUGCCGUGGGCGCUGGAGAACUGAGGGGGGCUGCUCCUAGUACGAGAGGACCGGAGUGGACGCAUCACUGGUGUUCGGGUUGUCAUGCCAAUGGCACUGCCCGGUAGC
rnacentral:rRNA from 3 species